rnacentral:siRNA from 1 species
UUGGGUGAUCAUGGACCGUC